rnacentral:rRNA from 1 species
UGUACCUUAUGAAUAAGGAUCGGCUAACUCCGUGCCAGCAGCCGCGGUAAUACGGAGGAUCCGAGCGUUAUCCGGAUUUAUUGGGUUUAAAGGGUGCGUAGGCGGCCUUUUAAGUCAGCGGUGAAAGUCUGUGGCUCAACCAUAGAAUUGCCGUUGAAACUGGGGGGCUUGAGUAUGUUUGAGGCAGGCGGAAUGCGUGGUGUAGCGGUGAAAUGCAUAGAUAUCACGCAGAACCCCGAUUGCGAAGGCAGCCUGCCAAGCCAUUACUGACGCUGAUGCACGAAAGCGUGGGGAUCAAACAGGAUUAGAUACCCUGGUAGUCCACGCAGUAAACGAUGAUCAUUAGCUGUUUGCGAUACACUGUAAGCGGCACAGCGAAAGCGUUAAGUGAUCCACCUGGGGA